rnacentral:hammerhead_ribozyme from 1 species
GCGCUGCUGAGGAGUUCCACAAUAGGACGAAACGGCAGUCCAGUGC